rnacentral:rRNA from 1 species
GAUGAACGCUAGCUCCAGGCUUAACACAUUCAAGUCGAGGGGAAACGGCAUUAAGUGCUUGCACUUUUUGGACGUCGACCGCCGCACGGGUGAGUAACGCGUAUCCAACCUUCCCAUGACUAAGGGAUAAUCUGCCGAAAGGCAGACUAAUACCUUAUGGUUUUUAUUGACGGAUUAAGAUGUGAAGUACAGAUUUAUUGGUUAUGGGUGGGGAUGCGUCUGAUUAGCUAGUUGGCGGGGUAACGGCCCACCAAGGCAACGAUCAGUAGGGGUUCUGAGAGGAAGGUCCCCCACAUUUGAGCUGAGACACGGUCCAAACUCCUACGGGAGGCAGCAGUGAGGAAUAUUGGUCAAUGGGCGAGAGCCUGAACCAGCCAAGUAGCGUGCAGGAUGACGGCCCUAUGGGUUGUAAACUGCUUUUGUAUGGGGAUAAAGUCAAUCACGUGUGAUUGUUUGGAGGUACCAUACGAAUAAGGACCGGCUAAGUCCGUG